GGAAUAUUGGGCAAUGGGCGCAAGCCUGACCCAGCGACGCCGCGUGAGGGAAGACAGCCUUCGGGUUGUAAACCUCUGUUGCAGGGGAAGAAGGAAGUGACGGUACCCUGCGAGGAAGCUCCGGCUAACUACGUGCCAGCAGCCGCGGUAAUACGUAGGGAGCGAGCGCUGUCCGGAAUUACUGGGCGUAAAGGGCGCGUAGGCGGCGCUUCAAGUCGUCUGUCAAAAGCCGAGGCUCAACCUCGGCGCGCAGACGAAACUGGAGAGCUUGAGUAGCAGAGAGGCAAACAGAAUUCCUGGUGUAGCGGUGAAAUGCGUAGAUAUCAGGAAGAAUACCAGUGGCGAAGGCGGUUUGCUGGCUGCAUACUGACGCUGAAGCGCGAAAGCCAGGGGAGCAAACGGGAUUAGAUACCCCGGUAGUCCUGGCAGUAAACGAUGUAUGCUGGGUGUGGGACUAGCGAUAGUUCCGUGCCGAAGUUAACGCGAUAAGCAUACCGCCUGGGGAGUACGGUCGCAAGAUUGAAACUCAAAGGAAUUGACGGGGGCCCGCACAAGCGGUGGAGCACGUGGUUUAAUUCGAUGCAAACCGAAGAAC
rnacentral:rRNA from 1 species